CCAGCCAUAGCUCAGUUGGUAGAGCGGAGGACUGUAGAGUGAGCAGCCAUCCUUAGGUCGCUGGUUCGAAUCCGGCUGGCUGGA
rfam:Gongylonema pulchrum genome assembly, scaffold: GPTH_scaffold0022922